rnacentral:rRNA from 1 species
GAAGUGAAUAAAAUAGCUUUGGUGAAGCGAACCCGGGGAACUGAAACAUCUCAGUACCCGGAGGAAAGGACAUCAACGAGACUCCGUUAGUAGUGGCGAGCGAACGCGGACCAGGCCAGUGGCUUGAGAGAGACAACCGGAACCUGUCUGGAAAGCAGGGCAUUAUGGGUGAUAGCCCCGUACGGGUAAUGCGAUCUCAAGUCCUUGAGUAAGGCGGGACACGUGAAAUCCUGUCUGAACAUGGGGGGACCACCCUCCAAGCCUAAGUACUCCUCAGCGACCGAUAGUGAACCAGUACCGUGAGGGAAAGGCGAAAAGAACCCCGGGAGGGGAGUGAAAUAGAUCCUGAAACCGCGUGCUUACAAAAAGUAGGAGCCUCGUAAGGGGUGACUGCGUACCUUUUGUAUAAUGGGUCAGCGACUUACAUUCAGUGGCAAGGUUAACCGAAUAGGGAAGCCGUAGAGAAAUCGAGUCCGAAUAGGGCGAUCAGUCGCUGGGUGUAGACCCGAAACCAAGUGAUCUAUCCAUGGCCAGGAUGAAGGUGCGGUAACACGCACUGGAGGUCCGAACCGAUUAACGUUGAAAAGUUACCGGAUGAGUUGUGUUUAGGGGUGAAAGGCCAAUCAAGCC